GCCAAACAGCUAGCUUAAAUUGAAACCGAACAACAUUAUAUUAAGAAAUAACCUAAAAUCAUAAACCAAACCAUUUUUUAGCCCUAGUAUGUGUGACAAAAAAGGCACAAUAAAGCGAUAGAGAAAGUACCGCAAGGGAAAGCUGAAAGAGAAAUGAAACAACUCAUAUAAGCACAAAAAAGCAAAGACUAAAACUUGUACCUUUUGCAUCAUGAUUUAGCCAGAAAUAUUCAAGCGAAAAGACUUUUAGUUUGAAGCCCCGAAACCGAGCGAGCUACCCCGAGACAGCCUAUUAAAUAGGGCCAACCCGUCUCUGUGGCAAAAGAGUGGGAAGAGCUCCGGGUAGCGGUGACAGACCUACCGAGCCCGGUGAUAGCUGGUUGCCUGAGAAAUGAAUAGAAGUUCAGCCUUAUGGAAGCCUAAGUCACAUCAAGCCAAGACAACAGGAUAUUCAUGAGAGUUAGUUGAAAGGGGUACAGCCCUUUUAACGAAGGACACAACCUUAACAGGAGGAUAAAGAUCAUAUUAAGCAAGACACACGUACGAGUGGGCCUAAAAGCAGCCAUCUUAACAGAAAGCGUCAAAGCUCAAACAGAAACAAGUCUAUUAUUCUGAUAAGAAAUCUCAAUCCCCUAUAAAUAACAGGCCUUUCCAUACAUUUAUGGAAGAGAUAAUGCUAGAAUGAGUAACAAGAAAGACACGCCUUUCUCCCCGCACAAGUGUAAGUCAGAUUGGACCAACCACUGAUAGUCAACGAACUCAAACAAAGAGAGAACUGUGACAUCUAAAAAGAUCAAGAAAAUCUCACAAGUAAUUAUCGUUAACCCCACACUGGUGUGCCUAGACGGAAAGACUAAAAGAAAAGGAAGGAACUCGGCAAAUACAAACCUCGCCUGUUUACCAAAAACAUCGCCUCCUGCAAGCUAGAAAAUAUAGGAGGUCCAACCUGCCCGGUGACUACAAGUUUAACGGCCGCGGUAUCCUGACCGUGCAAAGGUAGCGCAAUCACUUGUCCUUUAAAUGGGGACCUGUAUGAAUGGUUUGACGAGGGUUUAGCUGUCUCCCCUUUUAGGUCAGUGAAAUUGAUCUGCCCGUGCAGAAGCGGACAUAAAAAUACAAGACGAGAAGACCCUUUGGAGCUUUAGGUACAAAACUCAGUCACGUCAAGCAAACACAUAAAAGUAGAGAACCUAAUGGAUGAUGAGUUUAUACCUUCGGUUGGGGCGACCACGGAGGAAAAACAAGCCUCCGAGAGGACUGGGCAUGACCCAAAGCCAAGAAAGACAUUUCUAAGACACAGAACAUCUGACCAUAUUUGAUCCGGUUAAACAAACCGAACGACGAACCAAGUUACCCUAGGGAUAACAGCGCAAUCCUCUCUAAGAGCCCAUAUCGAUGAGGGGGUUUACGACCUCGAUGUUGGAUCAGGACAUCCUAAUGGUGCAGCCGCUAUUAAGGGUUCGUUUGUUCAACGAUUAAAGUCCUACGUGAUCUGAGUUCAGACCGGAGUAAUCCAGGUCAGUUUCUAUCUGUAACGCUACUUUUCCUAGUACGAAAGGAUCGGGAAAGAGGGGCCAAUGCUUAAGGUACGCCCCACUCCUAAGUAAUGAAUUAAAAUAAAUUAAAUAAAGGGGGGCACAAAACCUACUCUAGAUAAGAGACU
rnacentral:rRNA from 1 species